UACGAACGUGUGCAAACGUUUAUUCGGAAUCACUGGGCUUACAGGGUGCGUAGGCGGCCUGACAAGUAGGGUGUGAAAUCUCCGGGCUUAACCCGGAAAGGUCAGCCGAUACUGCGGGGCGUAGAGUGCAGAAGGGGCAACUGGGAUUCUCGGUGUAGCGGUGAAAUGCGUAGAUAGCGAGAGGAACACCUGCGGCGAAGGCGGGUGCUGGGCUGACACUGACGCUGAUGCGCGAAAGCUAGGGGAGCGAACGGG
rnacentral:rRNA from 1 species